rnacentral:lncRNA from 1 species
UCGAGCCUCAACCUAUUUUCUGAAAUGAUUUUCUUUCCAUCAGGAAGAAAGUUUCUUGAUAUUAUCCCUGUAAUCGCUCUUACCUAUGUAUCGUAUAUGCCUAGUGUUUCUGGGUGAGGAAAGGUAUUAAUAUUCGAGGAUAGAUUAACUUGAACAAGAAACAUCCUGCAUGACUACCUAUGCUUGAGGUGGCCCCAAGGAAUUGCUCCCAAUUAGAUUCUGCCACUAGACACUUGUCCACCGAGCUCCCUUUGACUAACUAUUUUGCACUGCGUUGAACUAGUUUUCAAAACAAUUUUGUUAAAAAAAAAUUACGUGGAGAAAAGGAUCGAUAUUGAUGCAUUUUAGUCUUUGAGCAAAUAAUUUGACUAGGUAUUAUGAGAGAUCAGCUUGACAGCGA